GGCCUUAUGGUCUAGAAGUAUGAUUCGCCCUUCGGGUUACCGCGUGAUCCGCUUACUCAAGCACCUGGGCGAGGUCCCGGGUUCAAUUCCCGGUGAGGCCC
rnacentral:tRNA from 1 species